UUUCCAUCUUGGAUCAAGGAUAGCAACACGUUGUAAGAGCUGAACAAGAAAAGAAGACAUGAGAGGAGGCUACAAAAGAAAGACACUACUGGGAUCACAGUGAAUCUGAGAUCACAAAACUCUACCCCAUGCUGCUUCCGGGCCUUGGAGCUCCAUGUUAUUUUUCCAGCACACCACCUUCCAUUUGUGAUGAAGAAUGCUACCCAUCAGUGUAAAGAAAAAAGGAGAUGAGGGAACCGCAUGGCCACCUAAUGAUGGGU